UACGUAGGGUGCAAGCGUUGUCCGGAAUUAUUGGGCGUAAAGAGCUCGUAGGCGGUUCGUCGCGUCGGCUGUGAAAACCUAAGGCUCAACCUUGGGCUUGCAGUGGGUACGGGCAGACUAGAGUGCGGUAGGGGUGACUGGAAUUCCUGGUGUAGCGGUGGAAUGCGCAGAUAUCAGGAGGAACACCGAUGGCGAAGGCAGGUCACUGGGCCGGCAACUGACGCUGGAGGAGCGAAAGCAUGGGGAGCGAAACAGG
rnacentral:rRNA from 1 species